rnacentral:rRNA from 1 species
GGGACACGUGGUAUCCUGUCUGAAUAUGGGGGGACCAUCCUCCAAGGCUAAAUACUCCUGACUGACCGAUAGUGAACCAGUACCGUGAGGGAAAGGCGAAAAGAACCCCGGCGAGGGGAGUGAAAAAGAACCUGAAACCGUGUACGUACAAGCAGUGGGAGCACGCUUAGGCGUGUGACUGCGUACCUUUUGUAUAAUGGGUCAGCGACUUAUAUUCUGUAGCAAGGUUAACCGAAUAGGGGAGCCGAAGGGAAACCGAGUCUUAACUGGGCGUUAAGUUGCAGGGUAUAGACCCGAAACCCGGUGAUCUAGCCAUGGGCAGGUUGAAGGUUGGGUAACACUAACUGGAGGACCGAACCGACUAAUGUUGAAAAAUUAGCGGAUGACUUGUGGCUGGGGGUGAAAGGCCAAUCAAACCGGGAGAUAGCUGGUUCUCCCCGAAAGCUAUUUAGGUAGCGCCUCGUGAAUUCAUCUCCGGGGGUAGAGCACUGUUUCGGCAAGGGGGUCAUCCCGACUUACCAACCCGAUGCAAACUGCGAAUACCGGAGAAUGUUAUCACGGGAGACACACGGCGGGUGCUAACGUCCGUCGUGAAGAGGGAAACAACCCAGACCGCCAGCUAAGGUCCCAAAGUCAUGGUUAAGUGGGAAACGAUGUGGGAAGGCCCAGACAGCCAGGAUGUUGGCUUAGAAGCAGCCAUCAUUUAAAGAAAGCGUAAUAGCUCACUGGUCGAGUCGGCCUGCGCGGAAGAUGUAACGGGGCUAAACCAUGCACCGAAGCUGCGGCAGCGACGCUUAUGCGUUGUUGGGUAGGGGAGCGUUCUGUAAGCCUGUGAAGGUGUGCUGUGAGGCAUGCUGGAGGUAUCAGAAGUGCGAAUGCUGACAUAAGUAACGAUAAAGCGGGUGAAAAGCCCGCUCGCCGGAAGACCAAGGGUUCCUGUCCAACGUUAAUCGGGGCAGGGUGAGUCGACCCCUAAGGCGAGGCCGAAAGGCGUAGUCGAUGGGAAACAGGUUAAUAUUCCUGUACUUGGUGUUACUGCGAAGGGGGGACGGAGAAGGCUAUGUUGGCCGGGCGACGGUUGUCCCGGUUUAAGCGUGUAGGCUGGUUUUCCAGGCAAAUCCGGAAAAUCAAGGCUGAGGCGUGAUGACGAGGCACUACGGUGCUGAAGCAACAAAUGCCCUGCUUCCAGGAAAAGCCUCUAAGCAUCAGGUAACAUCAAAUCGUACCCCAAACCGACACAGGUGGUCAGGUAGAGAAUACCAAGGCGCUUGAGAGAACUCGGGUGAAGGAACUAGGCAAAAUGGUGCCGUAACUUCGGGAGAAGGCACGCUGAUAUGUAGGUGAAGUCCCUUGCGGAUGGAGCUGAAAUCAGUCGAAGAUACCAGCUGGCUGCAACUGUUUAUUAAAAACACAGCACUGUGCAAACACGAAAGUGGACGUAUACGGUGUGACGCCUGCCCGGUGCCGGAAGGUUAAUUGAUGGGGUCAGCGCAAGCGAAGCUCUUGAUCGAAGCCCCGGUAAACGGCGGCCGUAA